GGAAUAUUUUGAUAGAGCAUAACAAGCAAUUUUUUUAAUCCACUAAGUUAUUAUAUAAGGAAAGGAACACAAACAUAGCAAUACAAUAAACAUAUUUUGUAAGUCUGACACAUCCAAAGCAAAAAAGAAGCUAAAAAAUUCAUCAAGGAAUAAACUAAAAAUAUAAAAUGAGAAUAUAGAGCGCAAAAGAAGGAAAGCAGGUGACAUAUGUAUGAAUUGGCAUUAGAAAGUACCAUUAAACCUCCCA
rnacentral:misc_RNA from 1 species